AUACCCAUUUCAAUAUUACCUUGACUUACCACUGUGGGCAGUGAGGGAAGAUGACUCUGAUGAGACUGGCCAGGAUGGACCUUCCCUUUUCAGCAGUACAGUAGUACCUCGGGUUACAGACGCUUCAGGUUAUAGACUCCGCUAACCCAGAAAUAUUACCUCGUGUUAGGAACUUUGCUUCAGGAUGAGAACAGAAAUCGUGCUCCGGCAGCGCGGUGGCAGCAGGAGGCCCCAUUAGCCAAAGUGGUGCUUCAGGUUAAGAACAAUUUAAGGUUAAGAACGGACCUCCAGAACGAAUUAAGUUCUUAACCCGAGGUACCACUGUAAUAAUAAUAAUAUUUCUUACCUGUCCUUCACCAUCAGGUCUCAGGGCAGGUUACAAUGUAAAUCUAUUGAAACUAGUUUUUAAAGAUGGAAUUAGAGCAGGUCCUGAAAAAUAUCUCUGGUGUCAAAAGGCCAGGAUAAAGAGCUGUGUCAUAAUGAAAUCUGCCAAAUGCAGCUCUCUGGGGAGGGAUUCCACAGCCUAAAAAGACUGCUGUCUUCUGGGCCACCAUCCAGUCCACAACUUCUGAGCAUGACGACCCUCUGCUGACCUUAAGACCUGAGAGGCUUUGUAGGGAAGGAGACAGUCUUUCUGAUAUUUGUGGCCUGAUUCAUGAAGUGCUGGAAGAAUCUGCAACAAUUCUUGCCCAGAGGACCCAUGCAGUUAGGCAGCUUCCUUGGCCUGAUGCACCUCAGUGACGUGGCCACUUUAGGUACCGCUACUGUUUUGAUUUUCAGCUGAUUCUGGAAAAUCUUUGUCUCUUUCCAAUCCAGUGCAGUCUUUAUUUCUUUUUCUGCUGAAGUGUGGGCUUGUUUCCAUAUGGUGCUGCAUCUUGGCUAACAACAGCCAUCCCAUCCACAGAAGCAAACCCUUCCUUUUGUAAGAGUGGGUGGAGUGGUGGUCAGCUUAUGGUAUCAGUCACCACCAAGAAGGUCCUAUCCUGCAUCCCCACCAAGUGCGUCUGUGAGGGUGGUGGGACCGAGUAUAGGGCCUGCCCCGAAGAUCUCAGAACCUAGGCAGGUUUGUAUGGACUUUCAGAUAGUCUGGACUUCAAGCUGUAUGGUGCUCUAUAGGUCAUAACCAGCACUUUGAAUUAUACGUGGAAACAGACCAGGAGGCAGUGGAGCUGUUCUAUUAUUGUUAUUAUUUUACUGAUUAAAUUUGUAUACUGCCCCUGAUCUGAAGAUCACAGUUCACAGCAUUAAAAUACAGAUG